AAGUAUGAAGCAACAAUUGCAUUCAGUUUCGACCUGAUCUUAGAUAGUAUUAUCCUUACUUA
rnacentral:tRNA from 1 species